GCCGAAGUGGCGAAAUAGGUAAACGCAGUUGAUUCAAAAUCAACCAUCAUUUUUUAUGAUAUAUCGGUUCAAGUCCGAUCUUCGGUA
rnacentral:tRNA from 1 species